AGCAGAAUGCCUGAGGAAAGGGUUAUUUUGAUAGAAUAAAUUACGUAAUUUAAUUACUUCUGUUA
rnacentral:tRNA from 1 species